rnacentral:rRNA from 1 species
GACGAACGCUGGCGGCGUGCCUAAUACAUGCAAGUAGAACGCUGAAGAGAGGAGCUUGCUCUUCUUGGAUGAGUUGCGAACGGGUGAGUAACGCGUAGGUAACCUGCCUUGUAGCGGGGGAUAACUAUUGGAAACGAUAGCUAAUACCGCAUAACAAUGGAUGACCCAUGUCAUUUAUUUGAAAGGGGCAAAUGCUCCACUACGAGAUGGACCUGCGUUGUAUUAGCUAGUAGGUGAGGUAACGGCUCACCUAGGCGACGAUACAUAGCCGACCUGAGAGGGUGAUCGGCCACACUGGGACUGAGACACGGCCCAGACUCCUACGGGAGGCAGCAGUAGGGAAUCUUCGGCAAUGGGGGCAACCCUGACCGAGCAACGCCGCGUGAGUGAAGAAGGUUUUCGGAUCGUAAAGCUCUGUUGUAAGUCAAGAACGAGUGUGAGAGUGGAAAGUUCACACUGUGACGGUAGCUUACCAGAAAGGGACGGCUAACUACGUG